UGGGGAAUAUUGGACAAUGGGCGAAAGCCUGAUCCAGCCAUGCCGCGUGUGUGAAGAAGGCCUUUUGGUUGUAAAGCACUUUAAGUGGGGAGGAAAAGCUUAUGGUUAAUACCCAUAAGCCCUGACGUUACCCACAGAAUAAGCACCGGCUAACUCUGUGCCAGCAGCCGCGGUAAUACAGAGGGUGCAAGCGUUAAUCGGAAUUACUGGGCGUAAAGCGCGCGUAGGUGGUUAUUUAAGUCAGAUGUGAAAGCCCCGGGCUUAACCUGGGAACUGCAUCUGAUACUGGAUAACUAGAGUAGGUGAGAGGGGAGUAGAAUUCCAGGUGUAGCGGUGAAAUGCGUAGAGAUCUGGAGGAAUACCGAUGGCGAAGGCAGCUCCCUGGCAUCAUACUGACACUGAGGUGCGAAAGCGUGGGUAGCAAACAGGAUUGGAUACCCUGGUAGUCCACGCCGUAAACAAUGUCUACCAGUCGUUGGGUCUUUUAAAGACUUAGUGACGCAGUUAACGCAAUAAGUAGACCGCCUGGGGAGUACGGCCGCAAGGUUA
rnacentral:rRNA from 1 species